rnacentral:lncRNA from 1 species
AAACAAGCUUGCCUAGCAUCACACAGCAGCAUAUGUUCAGCUGGGGCCACCGCCCCUUUUGGCUCAGCACAGGUGCAACGCAAAGGAGCUUUGCUUUUCCUGGGCUCAGGGAAAGUUGAAGGCAACCUGAGAAUAGGUGCUUCCUGGGGAACGGUGUUGAACCUAACCCCCUUCCUCCACUCUUUAAAAUCAGACAGGCUCUGUGCUGAAGACCGACACUGACAGCUUUCGGCCAGGAACUUAUCUUUCCCAGCAACAAAGAACAGGUGCCAGCCAUAGCAAUAGUUUCAGACCCGUGGAGUCAGCUGUGCUGUUGCCAACCUCCAUCACCUGUCCGCCUUUAUCCUGGGCUCUGUUCCUGUGGAUUUGAACAAAUAGAUGAGCGGCAUCGGAAGAAAGCUUUAGCUGCAUGUGUUUGGGUGACCACGAGAGGGCAGCACGUAAGAGACCAGUGUCGGCCCCGCUGCCUUCUUGAACACACCGGAAGCCUCCUAGGAAAACUGCAGAUUUUGUCAGACUGUGAAGUAGAAGAGUCAAAGAGCCUUCAUUGCUUCCUUUUAAAUG